AAAGAGUACCAGAAUGAAGAAGAUUCCUUGGGCGGGUCUCGUGUCGUGGUGUGUGACAUCAACAAGGAGAUGCUAAAGGUUGGAAAGCAGAAAGCCUUGGCUCAAGGAUACAGAGCUGGACUUGCAUGGGUAUUAGGAGAUGCUGAAGAACUGCCCUUUGAUGAUGACAAGUUUGAUAUUUACACCAUUGCCUUUGGGAUCCGGAAUGUCACACACAUUGAUCAGGUAUGAAUGGCUGCAUCCUCAGCUUGUAUGACUCUCAGGAAAUUACCUCUGUUGUAGAGCUACAGUGAGUGAGGAAAGAAGGAGAGUUUUGUUUUUUGAGAUGGGGUCUUGGUAUGUUGCCCAGGCUAGUCUCAAACUCCUGGGCUCAAGCAGUCCUUCCACGUCU
rnacentral:sRNA from 1 species